rnacentral:rRNA from 1 species
UACGUAGGGUGCGAGCGUUGUCCGGAAUUACUGGGCGUAAAGAGCUCGUAGGUGGUUUGUCGCGUUGUCCGUGAAAUUCCCUGGCUUAACUGGGGCGUGCGGGCGAUACGGGCAGACUGGAGUACUGCAGGGGAGACUGGAAUUCCUGGUGUAGCGGUGGAAUGCACAGAUAUCAGGAGGAACACCGGUGGCGAAGGCGG